rnacentral:misc_RNA from 1 species
AAAGCUUGCUUCUUUUCAAGGGAAAUUUGUGGGCCACUAGUCGAUUGAAAGUGACUUGCAUGAAAUUAAAAUUUGGUACACCCAGCUUUAGUGAUAUUAACGGAUGAGACGCCAACGUUGGGUGGUCCUAAAAGAGUGCUUAAGAUUGGACUCAUUGGAAGUUUGUUGUCUUUGCUAGCUUUUCCAGUAGGACCCAAACUGGGUCUAUUCCCAUCGAG